rnacentral:rRNA from 1 species
UACGGGGGGAGCAAGCGUUGUUCGGAUUUACUGGGCGUAAAGGGCGCGUAGGCGGUCAGCACAAGUCAGUUGUGAAAUCUCCGGGCUUAACCCGGAACGGUCAACUGAUACUGUGCGACUAGAGUGCGGAAGGGGCAACUGGAAUUCUCGGUGUAGCGGUGAAAUGCGUAGAUAUGCGGAGGAACACCGAUGGCGAAGGCAAUCCCCUGGGCCUGCACUGACGCUCAUGCACGAAAGCGUGGGGAGCAAACAGG